rnacentral:rRNA from 1 species
GACGAACGCUGGCGGCGUGCUUAACACAUGCAAGUCGAACGGAAAGGCCCUGCUUUUGUGGGGUGCUCGAGUGGCGAACGGGUGAGUAACACGUGAGUAACCUGCCCUUGACUUUGGGAUAACUUCAGGAAACUGGGGCUAAUACCGGAUAGGAGCUCCUGCUGCAUGGUGGGGGUUGGAAAGUUUCGGCGGUUGGGGAUGGACUCGCGGCUUAUCAGCUUGUUGGUGGGGUAGUGGCUUACCAAGGCUUUGACGGGUAGCCGGCCUGAGAGGGUGACCGGACACAUUGGGACGGGAAUGCGGCACAGACUCCUACGGGAGGCAGAGGUGGAGAAUAGUGCACUAGAGGCGGGAGCCUGAUGCAGCAACGCCGCGUGCGGUAUGACGGCCAGCGGGUAGGAAACCGCAGUCGCCUGUGACGAAACGUGAGUGACGGUAAUGGGUAAAGAAGCACCGGCUAACUACGUG